CUGUGUGUCGUAUUCUACCUUUCUAUUGGUCAGUCGUAAAGCAACGUCAAGUUCUUUGGUAACUGAUUGGCCAGGGGGCGGGACAACAACAACAACUACGUACGGGGAGAUCAGACCGUACGUGGGCUCUUGAGGCGACGCUGCUUCGUGAACUCUCGACUGGAAGAUGAAGAGAAAACUACGAUAAUUUCAUCGGCAUGAAAAGUGUUAUCCACUGUUGAAGUGCGUCGAGUAUUAUGGACAGUACAAAGCAGUGAAUUACAGUCCGUGACAUGUUGAGUAAUUACCUAAGAAAAAGUGUGUUUUGGCUAUGCUACUAGCACGCUAAGCUACUAGCACGCUAAGCUAGCGCUUUUCAGCACGAGUACUCACCGCCAGCUAGGGUUAGCUAUCAGCCCGACGACGACGACCCAGAGGAAACCAGCUAGCACCAAUGGGGGCUGACCAGGAAAAACUCAGCUGGACCAAGGACUGAGGUUGAGGAGGAAACCGUCGGUGGCAGGUAUAAAAUGUGGGGGAGUGCGACGGAGAUGAGGUCGUCCGUCGAGGGGAAGGAGUUUGUGAGUGAGAGAAAAGAGAAACCUCAUCCAGCUCAUUGUGGAGAGCCUGUCAGGAUUUAUUAGGCAAGUCUCUUCAAAGUCAACGCAGACUGAACAACGUUAAAUCAGGAGACAGAUGGAAUUCGUGGCUGGUUAAAGAGUCCCAGAAGUUACAGAUGGGAGGCCAAACGGCUUCAUCGCCCUCCGUGACCUGCCUUCCAGCAUCUCGCCCGGAAAGAAGGCGUAAAUGAUUGUGUCCGUAUGGAUGUCGUGUUUCCAUCAGCCAUCCGCAGGACUGAUGGGAAAACUGUGGUGUCAUUUCUCCAAGAAAAGCCAGGCGGAAAAGAGUUUGUCAACAUACAGCUCCCUUUUCUCUCACAACCUGAUCCGACAUUGUGAAAGCGAACGUUUUGAGCGAGCGAAGUGCUUUUUUUUCUCUUAGCAUUUCAGCACUUGGUUGCAUAAUGUGGGCUCUCAGCCUUAGUUCUACACUCAGUGUGACCUAUAGAAGUGACUGUUACCCCAUUUACACCUGUUGAUAAAUGAAAAGCAUCAGUCAAACUUGCGUCACCAUCAAUCAUGUAAGAAAAGCCUCUGUCUCUCUCUGUCUGUCUCUGAACAUGGGGGGAAGGAGGCGAGUGGGGUCGGCACUUCAGAGCCAAACAUUCGAGGACAACUCUGCUGAAAGAAAACUGCUUUGGAGAGAACCGCAAAAAAAAAUGUAUUUGGCGGCGGCUGUGUUUGCCCAGCACCUUGCAGAGAGAGCGGGGAACAGUGUUUUCUCAAUGACGAGCAACCGGUGCAAAUGUCAGCGGGACCGGGAUCGAUCCAAGAGGCCCCUUCGAGCCUGCAAAGGUAGCAUUGGAAGGGGCAGUGAGAUGAAAGUGACACAAAAUCCCCAAAUUGACUCCAUGUUUGUACAACGGGAAGAAGUCGAGAUGCGUUGUCACAUCUUCCAAAUAUGCCGGUGGGUUUUCGGUGUUUUGAAGGAUUCAAAUGGAGGAUGCAGCAAGUACAGAAAAGACAACGCAACACAUGCGGAAGUCAAUAAAAAGGUGAACGUUGAUCACAGGUCCAUGAUGGAAGGUGCACUCUGGUUCUCCUGCACAGUUUCUGUCCCAAAGCCACCAGUCUGAGCUUCAGCUGCAUCUGAACACCUCCUCCGGGCCCAGGAUCCUCGUUGUGGUGGAGGUUUUCAUGGCCCUGUGAUGCUGCUUGUUGGAUCUGACAUGUAUCAGUGUUAAGGGCCCAGAUAACUGUGUCUGGAUACCUGCAGUACAUGUGACAUGGGCCCUUUUGGACUGCUUUGUGUUAUUCCUGCAGGCGCCUCAAGUGUUUUCUGAACGUGCCAUUUUAGUCCGACAACAAUAUAAAGUUAUAGAGGAGGAAUAAAGGUGGUUGACGGUGAAGGACAGACGGGGCUUUGUUAGGACUCUGGAGCCCUGGAAACACUCGGGGAAUAACAUGGAACCACUUUUGGAACGAAUCAAAACGUUAUAUAUAUAAUCAGUUCACUGUUCGGUAUCUGUAAAUAUCAAACUCCAGUUUGUAAAAGCGCUGAGUGGGAGCAGGUGUAGCAUCGUGUUCACCUCGCUUUUUUCUGAUGCAGAAAUUGACCCCAUUACUUCUCUUUAAAUUCCUGAAAAGCUGAGCAGGGUGUCGGAGGUCUGCACUUCAACAAUACAACACUAUGUUGGAGAAGUGAGGCCGACAAAGAGGAGAGGCUGUCGACGGGAAAGGAUAAAGCCGGCUUUGUUGGGGCAAAGCUCUGAGGAGCAGCGGCAGCAGCAGCCAUGGUUCAGAUGAACAGAUAAAAACACACUUAGCCUGCACUUCAACGGUUACCCCCUGAUGGGUGGGCUGAUCCCCCCCCCCUUCCCCUUUAAUAACAGCCAUUUCACUUUACUGUCAGACGAGCGCGCCCUAAGUUAAGGGUUCAUCGCAGGUUCUCCACUGGUCCAAGUGAAGCCAGUGACUGGAUGAAGGCUUCUCGUCAGGGAAUAUACUGUAUUCGACGUCCGUGCCUAUCGAGUGUAAACCCACCGUGAAGUCACCCAUUGGUUUACGAUCUGCCGUGUUGAAGCAUCAAGCGCCACCUUGACUUUUUUGGAAACCAGCAGUAACCAUAUUUGGAGGAGCAGGGGGAGGGGCCUGACUGAGAGCUCGACGACACUGGACAUUCACCUUCAGGUCGCACACGGUAUCCACGCCCCAAUGCAAACUGUGCUUUAUCGUCUGUUUUACUCUUAAUGGAUCAUAAUUUACUGAAUGAACAUCGUGCUGUAUUGAAGAAGACCUGAAACUGGCGAUUGAACCAUAAACUCCUCAGGAAAAUGUUUACAGAUGUUAUAAAUCAAGUGAGAAGUCAUUUUCUCAUAGACUUCUAUAGAAACAACCAGUGGAGUCGCCCCCUGCUGGUCAUUCCAGAGAAUACAGGUUUCAGGCACUUUUUAUUUCCAAUCCAUGGUGCGUGUAUGUAGGCAUACAACGACCUGCAAAUGGUAAUGAAUUGAAAAAAAUCCUGGAUCUGCCCUUUGAUCCAGAUCCACACCAAAAUGUAAUGGAUUCCUCCUUUGCUGAGAAAAUUGGUUGAAAACAUAACCUCGUAUAAAUAUAAAAUAAAUGUAACUCGAUGAGGAAGCUUCGAUGAGCUCUUGUACUUCGUGGCCACUUUAAACCAGCUCUGUGAAGCAAUCAAUUUCAGAUUUGGGGGCAGAUUAUUCCUGCUUUGUUUUUUAUUGUUUGUGCCAAUCGACUGUGCACACGAUAUAUAUUUUUUUAAAUGUAAAUUUCAAUGCAGUAAUUAUGUCCUGAAUUUUGUCCACAAGAUGUGUGUCGAGAAAAAAUGACUUUGCGACAGAAUGCAACUACAAGAAAGAAGAUGAAGGUGAGCGAGAGACGAAUCAAUGUUAACAGAAAGAUAUGAAUCACCAGGAAUUACAUAACAUGAGCUCAGAGAUAAAGAGGGGAGGACACACUCACACGCAAUGCCUCAUGUGACGCUUUUAAUGUGAAAUGAUCAACAGGAAGUGACGUAGAUACAGCAGGAGCAUCCAGACGGACGAAAAUGAACAAAUCACCUUUUGACGAAAGACAAAGAUCAACGAGUAGAAGGGAGGAAUCAACGAACCGCAAGCGAGGAGAGAGUGUGUCGGUUCCUUCAGCUCCAUUUAACCACAGCUGGACAGAUGUUGAUGUGAGGCCGGUCCAGACCCUCGGUGGUGGUCAAGCUGAAAAGCUUAUUAAGCGAGGUCAGCCGACGACGAAGGUGCUGGCCACAUUGAGGGAGAAAAGACGGAGGGAAGGCGAAGUCGAGGCGACAGGUACUUGGCAGCUCACGGGCCGAGUAAUGCUGCUUAAAUAUCCCUCUCUCCCACACGCAUGGACACGCUUACAAGAGCCAGACGAUGCUGGAGGAGGCGGAGUUUAUGGCCUAUACUGCAGCCAGCCACCAGGGGGCGAUCCAGAUGAUUUGGCUUCAGUUUUGGGAGCUGUCGUCCAUCUUGUUUUAGUCUGUAGCUGUGUCCCUAUUCAGUGACUGCAUCCUUCAGAAGCAAGUCGACCACGAAGGCCGUUAGUGUCGACUCAGUCACAGAGGAGAAACUCGGUCCAGGAACACGAGGAAGAAGACUCGGGACGAAGCUGCGGACACGGACACACGUCUCCUUCUCAGGGGUAACGCCACACGGCGGCGUGCUCCUGCUCUCACACUCAACAAGUGAAUAGAUCCACUGUCUCUCAAUGCAAACCAUGUAACUCCUCAAUCAGACGCUUUCCAGCGCUGAAAAGUACAACCAUGUUUUCACAGCAGAACAGAAUUUUUUGUGUGAUUCCUGGAGGAGGAAGAGGAGGAAGAAGCAGCAGCGGCGGCGCAGCACUAACUCAUGGUGCAAAACUGGGCCGAGAAUGUUCUUGGCUGCUCUUCUGCCAACGCUCGGAGAUGUUGAACGUAGAAAAAUUCCCUCCUUCUGGGCCGAACAUUUAAACUGCACACACGCGCACGCACACACACACACACACACCUGUACAAGUUGACAGAUAACAUGCAAAUAGAAACCACAAACACAAACUCACACCCAUACACACCCACAUGCAUGCUGGGUAAGACCUACACAGCUGUGGACGUAGGUGUUGUGCGCAGCGUGCCAGAUAAAACGGCUCUGUUUCUCUUUCGGCGACUUUUUUUUUUUUGUGGCUCGGCCGGACGAUCAAAUUCCUGCCUAACAUCUGUCAAGGAAAACCUCGACCGCAUGAACCGGCCGGAUCGCCAGAUCUGACCGCAAACGAAAAACCCCCAGCGAAAGAGGUUUGGACGGAGACGCGGUGGGAAGCGCGGCAGAGCAGAAGAAGAAGAAGUGACACACGGAUUGUUAAAAUUCCAAAUCCUCAGAUAGUCUGCUGCAGUCGAAAUAAAUGAAAAGCACUAAACGAAAACAAAUAUAAGAAAUGUAAGUGUGUCUGUUGUAAUAUAUGAGGAGGAUCGCUGAUAUUUGAAAAUAACGAACAAGGUGGAGUUUUUCCUUCUGUGAAUUAUCACAUUAAAAACAUGGUGAUUUUGAAUGAUGGCGGAUUAAAAUCACUGACUUUUUAACUAUUUUACCUUCACAACAUUUUGGUGCUACACUGAUUCAUAACAGGACAGAGUGACGCCUCCUCCCCACUCACACCGGCUCUUUGGGUCGUACCUCUUUGGUGCAAUCUCCAGCGGGACCGCUCCUCGUGGACCACCACGCUGUGACUGCCGGACGUGGAAGCUCGAAAAUGUUGGCAACAAGAACGUCACUCUCCUCUGCGGAGCUCAAACCCUGGACGAGGUUGUGCAGGUCCGGAGCCUCUUGGUGGGAACACAAGCCUUCUGGAUCCGUUGUCGCGGUUGAAAUACCUGCAGAUGGAGGAGGGAGAGCGUCCGCCGGGGGAAGGACAGCGGCAUCGGAGCGAAGGGGGAGAAAGAUGCUGCGAUGUUGAUACAGAGCCACGACAUUAUUCGAGGAGGAAGGAGGAGACAUGGAUACGGCUCAAAGAAACGUACUGUACUGUACAACUGUGCGACAGGAGGCUGCUGAUGCUUCUUUUCAUCAUCAUCACCAUGAAUGUUGCCCAAUCUUAACCAAGCAGUAAAGUGAGGCGACGUUAUCCCGCGUAAGAUGCUGCAUGUUAAAUAAAGCCGACAAACGUGGUAUUGAGCCAGGAGCAGAGGUGACGGCCGCUCGCUCAGAGCUUCAGCUUUUAUUGCCGAACUUCCUGUUCAGGGCAGACGGGCCGCUGCAGUGACUCGCCAUCGGAAAGUCAUGAGCCGGGUUGUGGUUUGAAGGGAUUUGUGUUGUGUUGUCAAAAAUGUACAACCAAGGAGUAGAUUUAGACCUAAAUCUAACCCAACUUUGACCAUGGCGAUCAGAGGGAGCGCAACAAGUCUGGUAUGUGUAUUGAAUUCUGUUGACGUUCUUAAACAAGCUGUGAGGUUUUACGAGUCAACAGGCGUCCACGCCAUUGUGUUUCUCCUUCGACAAUCAAAAAACGAAAACCAUACAGUGAAUUUGAUUUCCCAAGCACGUUUCAUUUCCUGUCAAGCCAACAUGCUUGUACGCCGUCAUGAGUCAUGGGGAAUAUCAGUCACCAUAAAUCAAACACGGGGAUUUAAAUCAGCUAUUUGUAUAAUCCUGCUGCGCCUGUAUCUCGGAUGGGGAUAAUGUGUGGAAAUGUGUGAUGAUUAAAGCCAGGCCGCUCGCUCGCUCUGUGGGGAAUACCGUUUCCCAAAGUCCAUUUAACAACAAACUACUCGAUCCCUCCUUCGACCGGGCUGCGGUAGCACAGAGGACUUAGACUUGACAGAGAGCCUGGAGCUCAUGGUGAAGGUUGAGAUGUAUACAUACAUGUAUAUAUAUAUAUAUAUACAUACAUACAUACAUACAUAUAUGUAUGUGUGUGUGUGUGUAUAUGUAUAUAUAUAUGUAUAUAUAUGUGUGUGUAUGUAUAUAUAUAUGUAUAUAUACACACAUAUAUAUAUAUAUGUGUGUGUGUAUAUAUACACAUACAUACAUACACACAAAACAAACUACUACUACCCCUUUUCUGUUAAGGCCCUUCUUCUUUCAAAGUCAUUAUCCUGGUUCUUAUCUUACUGAUUAUUCUAAUAAUUUCUGAAUGUUUUUUGUUUAUUUAAUUCAUUUGCAGCCCCUUUGCUCUUAUAUUGCCAUCCCCCAAUUUGUGGACCCUAUUGGAUCAUCACUGUCGCGCUGAAACCUCGAAUGUUCCUAUUUUCCAAAUUUUUAAUAUUGUUUUUUAAGUAAUGCUAUUGGUAAACCCUUUAGGUCUGUGUCUUGGUUUCCCAAUUUCUUUUAUCUAGUGAAAAGUGUUAACAAAAGCUUGUUUCCUGUGGCGCUUUUGGUUCACGGCCAACCGCGACGUUUCGGUAGCUUUUCAGGUGAAAAGAAAUAUAAUUCAUUAAUUUUCAAUAGCAGCUUGUUGUUGUUGUUUUUUUUUAAAGUUGGUCUCAGGUUUAAAAACACAAACAGAAUUCCUCUUAUCUGUAACGGCCAUUUGUUGCUAAAUUUGGUUCUGUCAGGUCUGAGAGAAUGGGUUCCUUCCCGCCAUCGGAAAAGAAUGAGCUGAUUGUUAACCGACACACAAAUCACAGCCGCCAUAAAUCACACGUCUUUACACAAACAUUUUUGUUUCAUUUGAUUCAGUGGCGUGAGAAAAAACAAGACGCAGAUCUGAAAGUUAACAUCUCCAGACGUGAUCAUUCAAAAAGUGCUCUUUUUAAAAAAAAAAUUUAGGUGGUACACCUCCAGGACAAUUACACUGUGGUGUUUUCAAAGUCACCUUGUUUGCUGUGAAGAAAUGGUUAAAAGACAUUUCUCUGAAUAGCUUUGAUAUUCCCAAGAAUAGAGUCUGUCUUAAUACUAAUGUAAAAUGUCCUCAAAGUAUCUCAUAUAUAUAUAUAUAGAUAUAUAUAUAUCUAUAUAUAUAUAUAUAUAUAUAUGAGACAUAUAUAGAUAUGAGACAUAUCUAUAUCUAUCUAUCUAUCUAUAUAUAGAUAUGUUUUUAUAUGAACUCCAGUCCUGCUCAGCCUCUCCUUCUGCCUCGGCCUUGUCAGUUCAGGUUUUCAGAGAGUCGGGGGAUCGGGGGGGUCAAUACCACUGGCAUGCCUCAGCUUUGAUUAAAGGAAAUGCUCACAUCACUCCGUCUCCAAGAGAAACAAGCCGUUGGCUCUGAGCAGAUGGCUUCGACCAAUGGCUGCAGGGCUCUUUUACGAGGGGGCGGGCCGACAGGUGCGUUCGCUGGUUGACUGCGUGAAGCGCUCUGUUGUGUUCGUCACAUAGCAACAAUGAAGGUGCAGCCGUCAGAUUCUGUCGGGUUGUUCAGGCUCUUCCCUCAGAUCCGGUGAUGCUGACAAGUGAAGACAGAGGUUCUCAAACUGGGGGAUCGGGGUCCCGGAACAGGGACGCGAGGUUGUGUCAAGUGGGUCAUGACUUCAGUUGUUUUGCUUCCGUACCAUGUUUUCUUACAGACUAAAAUACAAAUGCCUUAAAUACACAUUUAGGUUUUUAUUUUACUUCACUUUUGUCUGUAUCGGUAGAUUUGAAUUUCAAUGCAAUUCUUUCAGGGGCUGUUUUCUGUAGAUUCCUCAUCCACUGAGACAGAAAUCACUUCAGCGCUAACAUUCAACAGACGCUCCGGUUUUGUUCCUGUCAAUCUUCUGAAGGUUUUUUACUGUGCGGCUUGUAUAUGUAUCAUUCACAGCCUGAUAUAUAGAACAUUUUUAUUACCAAAAACAUGUUGACAAUAAAUUUUCUUUAUGGCCGAUGUCAGUAUUGUCUGAU